rnacentral:lncRNA from 1 species
AUGCUGGGGAGUGUGGGAGCUCUGGGUGGGGGUCCCCUCGGCCCUCUGUCUCUCCCCCUCUGGGUGGGGAUCCCCUCACCUCUCUGUCUCUCCCCCUCUGGGUCGGAGUCCCCCACCCCUCUGUCUCUCCCCCUCUGGGUGGGGGUCCCCCCGCCCCUCUGUCUCUCGCCCUCCCCUCUGUCUCUCCCACUCCAGGUGGGGGUCCCCCCAGCCCUCUCUGUCUCUGCCCCUCCGGGUGGGGGUCUCCCCAGCCCUCUGUCUCUCCCCCUCCGGAUGGGGUCCCCCCGGCCCUCUGUCUAUCCCCCUCCGGGUGGGGGUCCCCCUUCCCUCUGUCUCUCUCACUCCAGGUGGGGGUUCCCCCAGCCCUCUCUGUCUCUGCCCCUCCGGGUGGGGGUCUCCCCAGCCCUCUGUCUCUCCCCCUCCGGAUGGGGUCCCCCCGGCCCUCUGUCUAUCCCCCUCCGGGUGGGGGUCCCCCUCCCCUCUGUCUCUCUCCCUCCAGGUGGGGGUCCCCUCGCCCUCUGUCUCUCCUCUCCGGGUGGGGGUCCCCCCGCCCCUCUGUCUCUCCCCUUCUUCAGGGUAGGGGUCCCCCCGCCUGUCUCUCCCUCCGUGUGGGGGUCCCCUAUCCCCUCUGUCUUUCCCCCUCUGUCCCUCCGGGUGGGGAUCCCCCCGCCCCUCUGUCUCUCCCUCUGGGAGGGAGUCCCCCAGGCCCUCUGUCUCUCCCUCUCCGGGUGGGGGACCCAUGAGGGAUCCGCUCGCCCCUCUGUGUCUCCCUCUCUUGGUGGGAGUCCCCUCGCCCCUCUGUCUCUCCCUCUGGGUGGGGGUCCGAUGAGGGAUCCCCCGCCCCUCUGUGUCUCCCCCUCUGGGUGGGGGUCCCCCCGCCCCUCUGUCUCUCCCUCCAGGUGGGGGUUCUCUCGCCCCUCUGUCUCUCCCCAUCCGGGUGGGGGUCCCCUCGCCGUCUGUCUCUCCCCCUCUGUCCCUCCGUGUGGGGUCCUCUCGCCCUCUGUCUCUCCCUCUGGGUGGGGUCCCCGCCCCUCUGUCUCUCCCCGUCCAGAUGGAGGUUCCCUCGCCCCUCUGUCUCUCCCCGUCCGGGUGGGGAUCCGCUCAUCCCUCUGUCUCUCCCCCUCCAGGUGGGGGUCCCCCAACCCUGUCUCUCUAUCUGGGUGAGGGUCCCCCCGCCCCUCUGUCUCUCCCCUUCUUCAGGGUAGGGGUCCCCCCGCCUGUCUCUCCCUCCGUGUGGGGGUCCCCUAUCCCCUCUGUCUUUCCCCCUCUGUCCCUCCGGGUGGGGAUCCCCCCGCCCCUCUGUCUCUCCCUCUGGGAGGGAGUCCCCCAGGCCCUCUGUCUCUCCCUCUCCG